rnacentral:lncRNA from 1 species
GGGCAAUGGCGGGCGCCCCUCCCCCAGCCUCGCUGCCGCCUUGCAGUUUGAUCUCAGACUGCUGUGCUAGCAAUCAGCGAGACUCCGUGGGCGUAGGACCCUCCGAGCCAGGUGUGGGAUUUAAUCUCGUGGUGCGCCGUUUUUUAAGCCGGUCGGAAAAGUGCAGUAUUCGGGUGGGAGUGAUCCGAUUUUCCAGGUGUGUCCGUCACCCCUUUCUUUGACUUGGAAAGGGAACUCCCUGACCCCUUGUGCUUCCCAAGUGAGGCAAUGCCUUGCCCUGCUUCGGCUCGCGCACGGUGCGGGCACCCACUGACCUGCGCCCACUGUCUGGCACUCCCUAGUGAGGUGAACCCGGUACCUCAGAUGGAAAUGCAGAAAUCACCCGUCUUCUGCGUCGCUCACGCUGGGAGCUGUAGACCGGAGCUGUUCCUAUUCGGCCAUCUUGGCUCCUCCAGAUCAGAUUUAUUUGGAGAAGACAAAAAACCCACAACCCAAAGGACGGGAUUUUACAUCUCAAGACAUCUCCCAGAAUGUCUCUCUGGCUUCCUCUCCCUCUCAGAGACCCAAUUUGGAACUGAAACCCUGAGUACAGCAAAACUGCAUUUCCCAAGCUCCUCUUCUCUCAAUGGGUCACAUGACUUGUUCUAGCCAAUAGAACGAGGGUGGAACUAAUGUGACCACUUUCAGGUGGCCCCUAAAGUCUCCUGUGAGAUCUUCCAAUCUUGCUCUCCUCACUCUGCAUGGCUGGAAAUGAAUACUCUGAUAUCUGAAACAACAUGAUGAAGGAGCCAGGAUGCCUAAGUUCACCACUU